GACGAACGCUGGCGGCGUGCCUAAUACAUGCAAGUCGAGCGCAGGAAAUCGACGGAACCCUUCGGGGGGAAGUCGACGGAAUGAGCGGCGGACGGGUGAGUAACACGUAAAGAACCUGCCCUCAGGUCUGGGAUAACCACGAGAAAUCGGGGCUAAUACCGGAUGGGUCAUCGGACCGCAUGGUCCGAGGAUGAAAGGCGCUUCGGCGUCGCCUGGGGAUGGCUUUGCGGUGCAUUAGCUAGUUGGUGGGGUAAUGGCCCACCAAGGCGACGGUGCAUAGCAGAGCGGAGGAGGUGAUCGGCCACACUGGGAAUGAGACACGGCCCAGACUCCUACGGGAGGCAGCAGUAGGGAAUCUUCCACAAUGGACGAAAGUCUGAUGGAGCAACGCCGCGUGAACGAUGAAGGCCUUCGGGUCGUAAAGUUCUGUUGUAAGGGAAGAACAAGUGCCGCAGGCAAUGGCGGCACCUUGACGGUACCUUGCGAGAAAGCCACGGCUAACUACGUGCCAGCCGCCGCAGUAA
rnacentral:rRNA from 1 species